AAGGGAGACCUAAUUCCGGUAGGAGACGAAAAAAAAGUAGUCCCAACCAAGAAUCAAUCCCAAAAGGUCGGAACGAGGUAUGAGGCUUUCAAACUAGGUUCUGGGUUCAUAAAAGACCUGAAUCAGGAACAAGGGCUAUUAGCUCAGGUGGUUAGAGCGCACCCCUGAUAAGGGUGAGGUCCCUGGUUCGAGUCCAGGAUGGCCCACCUGCACAGGUGGCAAAAACAAAGAAGCGAGGAAUCAGCACCUUAUCUUAUCUAUAUAUAAGAGAGAAUGCUGGCUCUGAGUAAAGAGUCCAGAGGAACCUUGAAAACUGCAUAGAGCUAGGUGAAAAAGCCAAAAAAGAAGACCGCAA
rnacentral:tRNA from 1 species